GAAGAAGAAGAAGAAGAAGAAGAAGAAGAAGAAGAAGAAGAAGAAGAAGAAAACACUGACAUCCUACGAGUUGAUGUGUCUGGUACAUUGAUCGUGAAAGUAUAACUAAACAGUCAGAGAAAAGGUGGAAUGUACAGAAGAAACAUGGAGGAGCAAUCAGAGAUUGAUGUGACUUCCGGAUUAUAUGUUUUGUUCGGACCAGGUAAAAGCAUUUAUUACUUCUACUGCUGUGCUAUUUCCUUCGUAGUUAGGGAUUCCUUCUGAUGACUACAUCCUAUGCAUCUUAAUAAUUCACAUACAUCAACCAUACAAAAUAACAAGAGCUGUCAAACUGUAA